CUACGUGCCAGCAGCCGCGGUAAUACGGAGGGUGCAAGCGUUAAUCGGAAUUACUGGGCGUAAAGCGCACGCAGGCGGUCUGUCAAGUCGGAUGUGAAAUCCCCGGGCUCAACCUGGGAACUGCAUUCGAAACUGGCAGGCUAGAGUCUUGUAGAGGGGGGUAGAAUUCCAGGUGUAGCGGUGAAAUGCGUAGAGAUCUGGAGGAAUACCGGUGGCGAAGGCGGCCCCCUGGACAAAGACUGACGCUCAGGUGCGAAAGCGUGGGGGGCAAACAGGAUUAGAUACCCUGGUAGUCCACGCCGUAAACGAUGUCGACUUGGAGGUUGUUCCCUUGAGGAGUGGCUUCCGGAGCUAACGCGUUAAGUCGACCGCCUGGGGAGUACGGCCGCAAGGUUAAAACUCAAAUGAAUUGACGGGGGCCCGCACAAGCGGUGGAGCAUGUGGUUUAAUUCGAUGCAACGCGAAGAACCUUACCUACUCUU
rnacentral:rRNA from 1 species